rnacentral:rRNA from 1 species
GACGAACGCUGGCGGCGUGCUUAACACAUGCAAGUCGAACGGAAAGUCCCUGCUUUUUUGGGGUGCUCUAGUUGCGAACUGGUGAGUAACACUUGAGUACCCUGCCCUUGACUUUGGGAUAACUUCAUGAAACUGGGUCUCAUACCGGCUAGGAGCUCCUGCUUCUUGGUGGGGGUUGGAUGGUUUCGGCGGUUGGGGAUGGACUCGCGGCUUAUCAGCUUGGUGGUGGGGUAGUGUAUUACCAAGGCUUUGACGGGUAGCCGGCCUGAGAGGGUGACCGGACAAAUUGGGACUGAGAUAAGGCCCAGACUAGUACGGGAGGCAGCAGUGGGGAAGAUAGCACAAGGGGCGGAAGCAUGAUGCAGCAACGCCGCGUGGGGGAUGAGGGGAUGCGGGUUGUAAACCGAUGUCGCCUGUGACGAAGCGUGAGUGACGGUAAUGGGUAAAGAAGCACCGGCUAACUACGUG